UACGGGGGGAGCAAGCGUUGUUCGGAUCUACUGGGCGUAAAGGGCGCGUAGGCGGUCAGCACAAGUCAGUUGUGAAAUCUCCGGGCUUAACUCGGAAAGGUCAACUGAUACUGUGCGACUAGAGUGCAGAAGGGGCAACUGGAAUUCUCGGUGUAGCGGUGAAAUGCGUAGAUAUCGAGAGGAACACCUGCGGCGAAGGCGGGUUGCUGGGCUGACACUGACGCUGAUGCGCGAAAGCCAGGGGAGCGAACGGG
rnacentral:rRNA from 1 species